AAGAACAUUACUUACCCUUGACAUGGUCGGAAUCCAGCUGAGAGGUGGGAGUGCUAGAAAGAGACCGGGAGCACAGGCGCUGCAUGGCUGUCGUCAACUUGAGUUGUGAGAUGUUGGGUUAAGUCCCGCAACGAGCGCAAGCCUUGUCCUUAGCCGAUACGCAAGAGCACUCUAAGGAGAUUGCCGGAGACAGACCGAAGGAAGGUGGGGAUGACAUCAAGUCAUCCUGGUCUGUAUUGGGAGGGAUUCACACGUCAUUCAAUGGUCGGAACAGAGGGUUGCCAAUAUCCGAGGGGGAUACCCCAAAGAAAAUUCAUUUUAGUCCGCAUUGCACUCCCCCCCUCGAGAACACGAAGAUGGUAUUCCCGCAAUUCUGGAACAGUACGCCGAAGGACAUGUCCCCGGGUCUUGUAAACA
rnacentral:rRNA from 1 species